GAUGAACGCUGGCGGCGUGCUUAACACAUGCAAGUCGAACGAAGCAUUACUUUUGGAGAGAAUCAGCUUGCUGAUUCUUGACAUGUGUAAUGACUGAGUGGCGGACGGGUGAGUAACGCGUGGAUAACCUGCCUCAUACAGGGGGAUAACAGUUAGAAAUGACUGCUAAUACCGCAUAAGCGCACAGAAUCGCAUGAUUCAGUGUGAAAAACUCCGGUGGUAUGAGAUGGAUCCGCGUCUGAUUAGCUAGUUGGAGGGGUAACGGCCCACCAAGGCAACGAUCAGUAGCCGGCCUGAGAGGGCGACCGGCCACAUUGGGACUGAGACACGGCCCAAACUCCUACGGGAGGCAGCAGUGGGGAAUAUUGCACAAUGGGGGAAACCCUGAUGCAGCGACGCCGCGUGAGCGAAGAAGUAUUUCGGUAUGUAAAGCUCUAUCAGCAGGGAAGAAAAUGACGGUACCUGACUAAGAAGCCCCGGCUAACUACGUGCCAGCCGCCGCCGUAAUAC
rnacentral:rRNA from 1 species